rnacentral:miRNA from 1 species
AUCAAGACUGUACAGUCUUGCAGAUGACCGGAAGGAACCCCUUCCGGCCAUCAAGAUUGUAUGAUCUUGAUGACCGGAAGGGAUUCCUUCCGGUCAUCAAGACUGUACAGUCUUGAU